CCAGAGGCUAAUGUCGAGUUAGCCUUGACAAAUCUAGUCGGGAGUAACGCAAAUAACAUAAUCCAUCACACCAUCAGUAGAUACCAGUCUUUUUUCUACGGCGAUCAAAAUUGUGACCAGUCAAGCACAGACACUGUGACUAAAAGUGUCACUAUAACUAGCACAGAAACUAUCGGUGUGAUUGUGGCGUAUUGCGGGUUUAGUGUGAAGAAUAAAGAAAUGUGGAGUGUAG